rnacentral:misc_RNA from 1 species
UGACGACGACGAGCAGUUAGUUGACGACUGUUGAACUCGAUACACGCGAACGAAGUAGCGAACUUGGCGCAAAACGACGUAUAAUUGGAAAAUUGUGAACGGACGUUCAAACGCGAAAAGAAAGGUGAUUAAAUUAUUACAAAUAAAUUAACUAAGGAAACACACACUUAAAACGAAGAAGUGACCAAAGCAGUGAAGUGUCUACGUGCGUGCGUUCAAUCGUUGUGCAUUGUCUAAUAAGCAGCAGACCGAACGGACUAACCAAAACGCAAACGUCGUGUCUUGUGAUCGCGCGGCGGUACUUUUAUUUUACGCGUCUAUACAUACAUAUGCGUGUGAAUGUAAAUAAGUAUAACAACUACAAAAAAGGUGUUCAAUUGCAAUCAUAAUACAUACUUGUAUGUAUGUACAAGCGUAUGUACCUGCUUAUAAAGAUAACAAGUUGAGCUAACGAAGAGCAAAAGCGCCAGCGCGCCACAAAAAGUGUAUAGAGAAAAGACUGCGCGCACUUUGUUUUCGUUUGCAUUAAGGCUGAUAAAAGCCAAGAAAAUAGCUAGCUAGGCAGCAAAUAAGGCGACUUGAUACGACGAAGUGCAAAAGCGUGCUUUUCAAAGUGAUUUAUGCGCGUAUACGUAAUAGCGCGUAAGACUAAAGCGGCGAAGAGCCAACGAAAACAACAGCAGCGCCGACGACCACCACCACCACCACGACAAUAGCCAGCGCGCAACCACGAAUAGCACGUCGUUGGUAGUUAAGUAGGCGCGCCAAUAGAGCGCCAUAGUCACAUAGCUCCGGUGACAACAGUUAGUUACACCAGCGACAGCAGACGCAUCGGCAGCUGUUGCGUGCGCUAGUACCAAACGCCGCAUUACAACGCACGCAAACGCGUCAGCAAGCGUACGCGACGCUCAAGCGCUUUAACAAGCUAUAGGCAGUUAAAAAUAAAUCUUGCAACGGUAAAAUGUGUCGCUGCUGCCAGAGCUGCUGGGAAGACUUCAAGUGGAAUUGCUUCGAGGAGAGAUUCUGCUACGAUGAGUCAAUCGCGAACUACAAUCCCGAAGAGGAUACGGACUACAUGUCAAUGCAGAAGAAUGGCAGUGCCCUCAGUCAUAUACAAGUGUCGGAUAACAACAAUUUAUCGGUGCCGAUCUGUAAUCAACCAUUGCGACGUGACGCUUCCGGCAUUAUGAGCAAUGCAAAGAUACACGAAGAAGACUACCGCCGCGAAACACAAACGAACGUGCCGAUGUUGGGUCCCGAAAUAUUGGCUGUUUUUGCAAAUUCACAAAUCUUCCAAGAUCAUCAACCGACCAAAAUGACACGCAUCAGCACGAAGACUUUCCUUGCCGGCAUACACUCACCCAACAAGGAAGUGCCGACAACGCCGCGUGAAACCGAACAGGAUCGGCUGCUGCGACGUUUGGAAGGUAAAACCGGCAAUGGCACGUUAACCGACAUACGUACACCCGAAAAUGUUACGCCUGCAAGCGCCGCCACCAUUACGAACACACCAACACCGACUGAUGCACAUGAUAGUGCCAACGAGAAACGCAUUACAUUCACCUUAACCACCGAUUCAUCACCGGAGGGCAGCCAGACAUUGACACCGAAAAAAUUCGAUGCGAUUGCCGAAGAAGACAUGGCUGCUGAGAAUCAAACUAAACGCGACACUGACGAAGUCAUACUCCGUCCACCACGUUUCAUCGAUCGUCAAACGCAUUUGUUGAACACCAUUUCGGGCAAUACGACACCGCGCAAGCUUAAGCGUAGCGCCACAAGCGUACCGGCUUUCAAUGUGCGCAGCGCUGCCAGCGAAACGGACAUCUUUUCGAUUACCGGCUCCGGUUCACGUAUCAGCAUGACACCCGAAGUGCCAUCCAUAUCAUUCAGCAAUUUACCGAAGAAUUACGAAGAUACACCGACCAUCGAGAAAUAUCGCGUCUCGCAGAGUUUGUACUCCAUACAAACAGCGAAUGCGGCACGCGCCAAUCAAGAUGAUUACUCCAUGCCACGCUACUUCCGACGCUCGGCAGCCAUGCUGCAAACGCAGAGUAGCGAAAUGUUAUCGACUGUGCCGUCUGCAACAUCGUCCAAUUCAAUGUCAUCAUCCAAUGAGGGUAUACAUCGGCCGGACAAGGGCAAGAGUAAGCGUUUGCAAAUGUUGCGUGGCAACUUGCCGCCAUUGUUGAUACAUUCAGUGUCGUUCCGCAAGAAUAGGGAGGAGGGCAAGCAGCUGGAUUAGUUGACAGUCAAGGACAGUGUGGAUUAUAAAUGCUGUUGUUAUGUGCGGUAUAACGGUACAUUAAGGCUAGUGGUGUAUGGCGUCGGGUGAAGAGCGAUUGGUGCGAGCGUUGCCAUUUCUGUUUGUGCUUAAAAUUUAAUCAAAAUGGGUCAAGUAAGAAAGGCAACACUGUACUUCGAUAUGGAACAGCUUAAAAUUGAAUUAAUAGCAAUUAGAGUAAUAUUUUUAAUAUAAAAUAUGUCCAGUGUAAUGAAAUUAUUUUGUUGAA